CAGCACCUCAAGUGGUCAGGAUGAUUAUUGGGCCUAAAGCAUCCGUAGCCGGCGCUGUAAGUUUUCGGUUAAAUCUGUACGCUCAACGUACAGGCUGCCGGGAAUACUGCAGCGCUAGGGAGUGGGAGAGGUAGACGGUACUCGGUAGGAAGGGGUAAAAUCCUUUGAUCUAUUGAUGACCACCUGAGGCGAAGGCGGUCUACCAGAACACGUCCGACGGUGAGGGAUGAAAGCUGGGGGAGCAAACCGGAUUAGAUACCCGAGUAGUCC
rnacentral:rRNA from 1 species